AGGCCAUAUCAGGUUAAAAGACCUUUUCCCCGUACGUACACCGAAGUUAAGCAUGAUCGAGUCUGGUCAGUACCUCGAUGGGUAACCGCUUGGGAAUACCAGGUUUUGUAAG